ensembl:piRNA 21ur-7906 ncRNA
UGAUUAAUGAUCAUGAUAAAA